rnacentral:rRNA from 1 species
AGAGUUUGAUCCUGGCUCAGAUCGAACGCUGGCGGCGUGGCUAAAACAUGCAAGUCGCACGCGAAAGUUCCCUUCGGGGAGCGAGUAGAGUGGCGAAAGGGCGAGUAAUGCAUGGGAACGUACCCUUGGCUCAGGGAUAGCUGCGGGAAACUGCAGGUAAUACCUGAUGAUACCACGAUGUCAUAUGGCAAUGUGGUCAAAGGUGGGGCUCCACUUCGGUGGACCUACUGGCCUUUGAGCGGCCCAUGUCCUAUCAGCUUGUUGGCGAGGUAAUGGCUCACCAAGGCUAUGACGGGUACCGGGACUGAGAGGUUGGCCCGGCGCAUUGGGACUGAGACACUGCCCAGACUCCUACGGGAGGCUGCAGUAACGAAUAUUCCGCAAUGGACGAAAGUCUGACGGAGCGACGCCGCGUGUGGGAAUAAGGCCCUCGGGUUGUAAACCACUGUCAGGGACCACCAAGCGGAUGGGGUUAAUAUCCCUACGAGUUGAGGAAUCCCGAAGGAAGCCACGGCUAACUUCGUGCCAGCAGCCGCGGUAAUACGAAGGUGGCAAGCGUUGUUCGGAAUCAUUGGGCUUAAAGAGCAUGUAGGCGGCCCAGCAAGCGUCCUGUGAAAUCCCUCGGCUCAACCGAGGAAUUGCGUGGCGAACUGCUGGGCUUGAGGCAGGUAGGGGCGUGUGGAACUCUUGGUGGAGCGGUGGAAUGCGUAGAUAUCAAGAGGAACGCCGGUGGCGAAGGCGACACGCUGGGCCUGUCCUGACGCUGAGAUGCGAAAGCCAGGGUAGCAAACGGGAUUAGAUACCCCGGUAGUCCUGGCCCUAAACGAUGUCAACUAGGUCGGAGGUUCUCUGACGGGUUUCCGACCGAAACGAAAGCGUUAAGUUGACCGCCUGGGGAGUACGGUCGCAAGGCUAAAACUCAAAGGAAUUGACGGGGGCUCACACAAGCGGUGGAGCAUGUUGCUUAAUUCGAUUCAACGCGAAGAACCUUAUCCUGGGCUUGACAUACUUGGAUGCCCAUCUGGAAACAGAGUAGGCUGCCCUUCGGGGUGAAACUUGAACAGGUGCUGCAUGGCUGUCGUCAGCUCGUGUCGUGAGAUGUUGGGUUAAGUCCCGUAACGAGCGAAACCCUUGUCGUUAGUUGCCAGCGCGUUAUGGCGGGGACUCUAGCGAGACUGCCGGUGUUAAACCGGAGGAAGGUGGGGAUGACGUCAAGUCCUCAUGGCCUUUAUGCCCAGGGCUGCAAACGUGCUACAAUGGCUGGUACAAACUGAAGCAAGACCGCGAGGUGGAGCAAAUCGGAGAAAGCCAGCCCCAGUUCGGAUCGUAGUCUGCAACUCGACUACGUGAAGUUGGAAUCGCUAGUAAUCGUAGAUCAGCUAUGCUACGGUGAAUGUGUUCCUGAGCCUUGUACACACCGCCCGUCAAGUCAUGGAAGCUGGUAGCGCCCGAAGUCGUGCCGCUUCAGGCAUGCCGAAGGUGAGAUCGGUGACUAGGACUAAGUCGUAACAAGGUA